rnacentral:tmRNA from 1 species
GCCACUUGCAAUAAUUGCAAACGACGAAGUAGAACUAGCUUACGCUGCGUAAGUUACCCUGAUCUUGAGGUGUCCAUCCAUUAAGAACCCAGGGCAACCUAGAUGGAAUCGCUAUUCGGAGAUGUUGACUCGUGUCGCCGAGGGUUAAAAAGUAACGAACCGACCUGUUUGGCGUCUUGUCUAUUCAACUCCCUUCAGGUGCUAUUUGAAUAGAAUAAACAUGUAGGUCCAUUGGCUGAUGGUUUUCGGACGUGGGUUCGACUCCCACCGCCUCCACCA